GAGAUGGAAAAUGGUGGAGUGGCCAGCUUACCAUUCUCUUAAAUACAACCGUUGGGCACUAUUAUCUAAGGUCAUGAUGGCCCAUAACUGACGUGUCCCCAGCUAGACCCCCGUUUGACAAACAUUUGGCGGGGCACGCUGGACGUCUUGGGGAGUGUGCGGUGGCCUGGACAGGCGUGAGACAGGAAAGAGGACUUCUAAAUCAGCCAGCAAUCCAAAGGCCCUCCAUAAAUCCUCCAAAUGGGCUCGGGUGUGGGACGUAAAGCACACCUGCAAG